UAUUCCCCACUGCUGCCUCCCGUAGGAGUCUGGGCCGUGUCUCAGUCCCAAUGUGGCCGUUCGCCCUCUCAGGUCGGCUACUGAUCGUCGGUUUGGUGGGCUGUUAUCUCACCAACUGCCUAAUCAGACGCGGGGCCAUCUUAUACCGAAUUUCUUUCCACACCGGAAGAUGCCUUCCUGUGCGCAUAUGAGGUAUUAGCAGCCGUUUCCAGCUGUUGUCCCUCAGUAUAAGGCAGGUUCCCCACGCGUUACUCACCCGUCCGCCACUCGGAACAGUCAAUUUAAUCCGAAGACCUCGUCUUCUGUUCCUCGUUCGACUUGCAUGUGUUAAGCACGCCGCCAGCGUUCAUCCUGAGCCAA
rnacentral:rRNA from 1 species